GACGAACGCUGGCGGCGUGCUUAACACAUGCUAGUCGAACGGAAAGGCCCUGCUUUUGUGGGGUGCCCGAGUGGCGAACGGGUGAGUAACACGUGAGUAACCUGCCCUUGACUUUGGGAUAACUUCAGGGAACUGGGGCUAAUACCGGAUAGGAGCUCCUGCUGCAUGGUGGGGGUUGGAAAGUUUCGGCGGUUGGGGAUGGACUCGCGGCUUAUCAGCUUGUUGGUGGGGUAGUGGCUUACCAAGGCUUUGACGGGUAGCCGGCCUGAGAGGGUGACCGGCCACAUUGGGACUGAGAUACGGCCCAGACUCCUACGGGAGGCAGCAGUGGGGAAUAUUGCACAAUGGGCGGAAGCCUGAUGCAGCAACGCCGCGUGCGGGAUGACGGCCUUCGGGUUGUAAACCGCUUUCGCCUGUGACGAAGCGUGAGUGACGGUAAUGGGUAAAGAAGCACCGGCUAACUACGUGCCAGCAGCCGCGGUGAUACGUAGGGUGCGAGCGUUGUCCGGAUUUAUUGGGCGUAAAGGGCUCGUAGGUGGUUGAUCGCGUCGGAAGUGUAAUCUUGGGGCUUAACCCUGAGCGUGCUUUCGAUACGGGUUGACUUGAGGAAGGUAGGGGAGAAUGGAAUUCCUGGUGGAGCGGUGGAAUGCGCAGAUAUCAGGAGGAACACCAGUGGCGAAGGCGGUUCUCUGGGCCUUUCCUGACGCUGAGGAGCGAAAGCGUGGGGAGCGAACAGGCUUAGAUACCCUGGUAGUCCACGCUGUAAACGGUGGGUACUAGGUGUGGGGUCCAUUCCACGGGUUCCGUGCCGUAGCUAACGCUUUAAGUACCCCGCCUGGGGAGUACGGCCGCAAGGCUAAAACUCAAAGGAAUUGACGGGGCCCCGCACAAGCGGCGGAGCAUGCGGAUUAAUUCGAUGCAACGCGUAGAACCUUACCUGGGUUUGACAUGGAUCGGGAGCGCUCAGAGAUGGGUGUGCCUCUUUUGGGGUCGGUUCACAGGUGGUGCAUGGCUGUCGUCAGCUCGUGUCGUGAGAUGUUGGGUUAAGUCCCGCAACGAGCGCAACCCUUGUUCACUGUUGCCAGCACGUUAUGGUGGGGACUCAGUGGAGACCGCCGGGGUCAACUCGGAGGAAGGUGGGGAUGGCGUCAAGUCAUCAUGCCCCUUAUGUCCAGGGCUUCACGCAUGCUACAAUGGCUGGUACAGAGAGUGGCGAGCCUGUGAGGGUGAGCGAAUCUCGGAAAGCCGGUCUCAGUUCGGAUUGGGGUCUGCAACUCGACCUCAUGAAGUCGGAGUCGCUAGUAAUCGCAGAUCGGCAACGCUGCGGUGAAUACGUUCCCGGG
rnacentral:rRNA from 1 species